rnacentral:rRNA from 1 species
AGUUUGAUCCUGGCUCAGAUUGAACGCUGGCGGCAUGCCUUACACAUGCAAGUCGAACGGCAGCGGACCUUCGGGUGCCGGCGAGUGGCGAACGGGUGAGUAAUGCAUCGGAACGUGCCAUUGAGUGGGGGAUAACGUAGCGAAAGUUGCGCUAAUACCGCAUAUUCUGUGAGCAGGAAAGCAGGGGACCGCAAGGCCUUGCGCUCUUUGAGCGGCCGAUGUCAGAUUAGCUAGUUGGUGAGGUAACGGCUUACCAAGGCGACGAUCUGUAGCGGGUCUGAGAGGAUGAUCCGCCACACUGGAACUGAGACACGGUCCAGACUCCUACGGGAGGCAGCAGUGGGGAAUUUUGGACAAUGGGGGCAACCCUGAUCCAGCCAUGCCGCGUGAGUGAAGAAGGCCUUCGGGUUGUAAAGCUCUUUCGGCCGGGAAGAAAUCGCAUGGGUUAAUACCCUGUGUGGAUGACGGUACCGGCAUAAGAAGCACCGGCUAACUACGUG